rnacentral:misc_RNA from 1 species
GAUGAAGAACGCAGCGAAAUGCGAUAAGUAAUGUGAAUUGCAGAAUUCAGUGAAUCAUCGAAUCUUUGAACGCAUCUUGCGCUCCUUGGUAUUCUGAGGAGCAUGCCUGUUUGAGUGUCAUUAAAUUCUCAACUACACUGACUUUGAAUUGGUGUGGCUUGGAUUUGGGGGGGAAAAUUGUUGUGGGCUUUUUGUAUAGUCUGCUCCCCUGAAAUUGAUUAGCGGUACCUUUGUGGAACUGUCUACAGGUGUGAUAAUUAUCUACAUCUUAGACAUCUGCUGGAAUGCUGCUUUCUAAACCUUACUUGUAUUGACAAUCUUGACCUCAAAUCAGGUAGGACUACCCGCUGAACUUAAGCAUAUCAAUAAGCGGAGGA